AGGGGAGGUCCAAACCAACAAGAACUGCUAAUUCUUGCAUCGAGCCUUAAACCUCGUCCCCCUU
rnacentral:tRNA from 1 species